GGGGUGAAAUAGUCAGUGGUGCUGUGGUAGACGAGCUACCCGACCCGUCUUGAAACACGGACCAAGGAGUUUAACAUGUGUGCGAGUCAAAGGGUCCUACGAAACCCCUAGGCGCAGUGAAAGUGAAGUUCAUGCUGCACUUCUGCACAUACGCGGUGCAGUGUGGCGAGGUGAGAUCUCGUUGUACUCAUGACACACGCCUUAGACCUUACUGGGCAUUAUUGGGGCAACGAGCGCAUCACCGGCCCGUCCCAUGAUGUGGUCAUGGGUGUACUUGUACGUGGAGUGGCGACACUUUGCGUGCAAAGCCUGUGCGUCAUCGGGGCGGAGCAUGAGCACACACGUUGAGACCCGAAAGAUGGUGAACUAUGCUUGCGUAGGUUGAAGCCAGAGGAAACUCUGGUGGAGGACCGUAGCGAUUCUGACGUGCAAAUCGAUCGUCAAACGUGAGUAUAGGGGCGAAAGACUAAUCGAACCAUCUAGUAGCUGGUUCCCUCCGAAGUUUCCCUCAGGAUAGCUGGCGCUCAUUGGUAUAAUCAGUUUUAUCCGGUAAAGCGAAUGAUUAGAGGUACUGGGUUCGAAAUGGACUCAACCUAUUCUCAAACUUUAAAUGGGUGAGAUGCUCGACUCGCCUCGUGUGCGUGUGUGUAAUAACUGCGCGGAGUCGGGCGUUGAAUGUGCGAGUGCCAAGUGGGCCAUUUUUGGUAAGCAGAACUGGCGCUGUGGGAUGAACCAAACGCGUGGUUAAGGUGCCUAACGCUGACGCUCAUGAGAUACCACAAAAGGUGUUGGUUAAUAUAGACAGCAGGACGGUGGCCAUGGAAGUCGGCAUCCGCUAAGGAGUGUGUAACAACUCACCUGCCGAAUUGACCAGCCCUGAAAAUGGAUGGCGCUAGAGCGUCGGACCUAUACCGCGCCGUCAUCGCAAGCUGCACCUAUGGGGUUGUACAUUAUGUGGGCGUGUGUGAUCGCAGGUACAUUCGUGGUGCAGGCAAGGAGCGCGAUGACGAGUAGGAGGGUCGCCGUGGUGAGCGUAGAAGCCUCUGGCGUGAGUCAGGGUGGAGCCGCCACGGGUGCAGAUCU
rnacentral:ncRNA from 1 species